rnacentral:tRNA from 1 species
GGGUCUGUAGUGUCAACGGUCAAGCACACCUGCCUUCCAAGCAGACAGUCUGAGUUCGAAUCUCAGUAGGCCCUCCA